rnacentral:tRNA from 1 species
CGGGAUGUAGCGUAGUUUGGUAGCGCAUCUGCCUUGGGAGCAGAAAGUCACAGGUUCAAGUCCCGUCAUCCCGA